UAUAACAGAGGGAAGCGAAGUGGCGACAUGGAGCAAAUCCCAAAAAUAACGUCCCAGUUCGGAUUGUAGUCUGCAACCCGACUACAUGAAGCCGGAAUCGCUAGUAAUCGCGGAUCAGAAUGCCGCGGUGAAUACGUUCCCGGGUCUUGUACACACCGCCCGUCACACCAUGGGAGUUGGAAAUGCCCGAAGUCAGUGGCCCAACCGGAAGGGGGGAGCUGCCGAAGGCAGGUUCGAUGACUGGGGUGAAGUCGUAACAAGGUACC
rnacentral:rRNA from 1 species